rnacentral:rRNA from 1 species
UACGUAGGGGCCAAGCGUUGUCCGGAUUUAUUGGGCGUAAAGAGCUCGUAGGCGGUUCGGCAAGUCAGCUGUGAAAUCUCCACGCUCAACGUGGAGGGGUCAGCUGAUACUGCUGUGACUUGAGUCCGGUAGGGGAGUGUGGAAUUCCCGGUGUAGCGGUGAAAUGCGCAGAUAUCGGGAGGAACACCAGUAGCGAAGGCGGCACUCUGGGGCCGGUACUGACGCUGAGGAGCGAAAGCGAGGGGAGCAAACGGGG